rnacentral:rRNA from 1 species
GACGAACGCUGGCGGCGUGCUUAACACAUGCAAGUCGAACGGAAAGGCCCUGCUUUUGUGGGGUGCUCGAGUGGCGAACGGGUGAGUAACACGUGAGUAACCUGACCUUGACUUUGGGAUAACUUCAGGAAACUGGGGCUAAUACCGGAUAGGAGCUCCUGCUGCAUGGUGGGGGUUGGAAAGUUUCGGCGGUUGGGGAUGGACUCGCGGCUUAUCAGCUUGUUGGUGGGGUAGUGGCUUACCAAGGCUUUGACGGGUAGCCGGCCUGAGAGGGUGACCGGCCACAUUGGGACUGGGAUACGGCCCAGACUCCUACGGGAGGCAGCAGUGGGGAAUAUUGCACAAUGGGCGGAAGCCUGAUGCAGCAACGCCGCGUGCGGGAUGACGGCCUUCGGGUUGUAAACCGCUUUCGCCUGUGACGAAGCGUGAGUGACGGUAAUGGGUAAAGAAGCACCGGCUAACUACGU